UGUGAGCACAUGGUGUGAGCUUGCAGGCCAGGAGGAGUCUGUUGGUGUCUGCAGGUGUGUGCAAGUGUCUGUGGAAGUCUGUUCAGGGAUCUUAAUUGGUUUACCCAAACUCAAGCUGGAGAGAUGUGUGGAGCCUCAGCCACAGACCCUGACUGUUGGGGGAUGCUUUGCUAGCAGAAUGCAGAGCUGUUGGAAACCCAGUUCCUCCUUGAAAGUGGUUCAGAAUUGGAUUCCCCUGGGAAUAUGGGGACAGAGACAUCUCUCUGAGAAGAGGUGCGGCAUGGAAUGGCAAGGCAAGAGGCGUCGAGAAGAGGAGGGGCGUCGGUCUGGAGAAGAGGAGACGGGCAAGGCGCUCUGGGCAAAGGGAGUUGCCCCUGACUGAAGGUGUGGUAAGACGAGAGCUUUGCCGUCACCUCGAGUGUGGCCUGGGUGGCUUUGCGCUGGGCAAUCUCCAUGUAAGUAGGACUCGGUCUUUGCUUGUGCUGUUGUUUGCCUUUUGGUGGUUUGGUCCUUUGUCUGCCCGGAGCCCGGCUACCCUGUAAGGAGGGCACAAACUGGUGUCUUCACACCCGUUGGGAGAAAGGGAUCAACCUGGCCCCCGAACCCCCCCUGUAAGCAGGGUAGGGUCCUUUGCUCAGCCCCGGCAGCUUGUCAGCUGUGGGCUGCCUGUGCAGUGUGACUCCCUGUACUCGAGGUGUGUUGCGGCUUUUGUCCUUUGGCUUCCCCUGAGGGCCUUGCGUGUCCCGAGGCUUCCCUGAGCUCCGCGCAGUCUGGUGUGGCCAAGUCUGACCCUCUUCUCUCCUGCUGCGGGGUAAGGAUGGCUGUCCCAACGGUGGCUGCCCAGAGCUUGCUCCCUCUCCUGGGAAGAGGUGUGUGUAUGACCCUCCCCUUGCCUCUGCGUGUGUGUGCUUGUGUGCCUGAGUGUGCUUGUGGUGUAGGUUGCUGUGAAAAGUGCUGCAGCUUAGCUUAGGCUUCCCAGGAGGGAAAGAGGGGCUCUGGGCAGUAACAGGGCAGUCUCCUUGGAGUCCCUGAGCGGAGUGGGAGCUCAGCUUGCCCCUCCUUGUCCUGUAGAGACACAGGAAGGCCCUGUAGUUGAGGGCCUGGGUGUCUGCCUCCAUGGCAGCCUGUCCUGUUGUCAAGGUGGCAUCUCAAGAGCUCUGUAGUUGGGGCCUGUGUGAUGAGUUGUGGAGCCUUCUGUCCCUGUGUGUCGCCAGGAGCAGCCUGAGGUCCCUGUAAGCAGGGCCUAGGAGGCUGUUUUAGGCAGCUAAGAGAAGCACGCCUUCCUGGGUGCUUAGAGGGUGGAGGUGGCUCCCUGGUCUCCUGAAGUGGUGUUGCUGUGCUGCAGGCAGGAGGGCUGUCCCGUAAGGUGGGAGCAGGCCGGAGCCCGUGUCUCCAUAGGCAUUUUU